GACGAACGCUGGCGGCGUGCUUAACACAUGCAAGUCGAACGGAAAGGCCCUGCUUUUGUGGGGUGCUCGAGUGGCGAACGGGUGAGUAACACGUGAGUAACCUGCCCUUUACUUUGGGAUAACUUCAGGAAACUGGGGCUAAUACCUGAUAGGAGCUCCUGCUGCAUGGUGGGGGUUGGAAAGUUUCGGCGGUUGGGGAUGGACUCGCGGCUUAUCAGCUUGUUGGUGGGGUAGUGGCUUACCAAGGCUUUGACGGGUAGCCGGCCUGAGAGGGGGAACGGCCACAUUGGGACUGAGAUACGGAGCAGACUGCUACGGGAGGCAGCAGUGGGGAAUAUUGCACAAUGGGCGGAAGUGUGAGGCAGAAACGCCGCGUGCGGGAUGAAGGCCUUGGGGUGGUAAACCGCUUUAGCCUGUGACGAAGCGGGAGUGACGGUAAUGGGUAAAGAAGCACCGGCUAACUACGUG
rnacentral:rRNA from 1 species